rnacentral:rRNA from 1 species
GACGAACGCUGGCGGCGUGCUUAACACAUGCAGGUCGAGCGGUAAGGCCCUUUCGGGGGUACGACGAGCGGCGAACGGGUGAGUAACACGUGGGUGACCUGCCCUUACGCUCUGGGAUAAGCCUGGGAAACGUGGGUCUAAUACCGGAUAUGACUCCAUAACGCAUGUUGUGGGGUGGAAAGCCUUGUGCGGCUAGGGAUGGGCCCGCGCCUAUCAGCUUGUUGGUGGGGUGAUGGCCACCAAGGCGACGACGGGUAG